UACGUAGGGGGCAAGCGUUGUCCGGAAUAAUUGGGCGUAAAGCGCGCGCAGGCGGCCGUUUAAGUCUUGUGUUUAACCCCGGGGCUCAACCUCGGGACGCACGGGAAACUGGGUGGCUUGAGUGCAGGAGAGGGAAGCGGAAUUCCACGUGUAGCGGUGAAAUGCGUAGAGAUGUGGAGGAACACCAGUGGCGAAGGCGGCUUUCUGGCCUGUAACUGACGCUGAGGCGCGAAAGCGUGGGGAGCGAACAGG
rnacentral:misc_RNA from 1 species